GGCCGGUUAGCUCAGUUGGUUAGAGUGCGGUGCUGAUAACACCGAGGUCUCAGGGUUUGAUCCCUGUACUGGCCA